UAGGGAAUCUUCGGCAAUGGACGAAAGUCUGACCGAGCAACGCCGCGUGAGUGAAGAAGGUUUUCGGAUCGUAAAACUCUGUUGUUAGAGAAGAACAAGGACGUUAGUAACUGAACGUCCCCUGACGGUAUCUAACCAGAAAGCCACGGCUAACUACGUGCCAGCAGCCGCGGUAAUACGUAGGUGGCAAGCGUUGUCCGGAUUUAUUGGGCGUAAAGCGAGCGCAGGCGGUUUCUUAAGUCUGAUGUGAAAGCCCCCGGCUCAACCGGGGAGGGUCAUUAGAGUCUGGGAGACUUGAGGGCAGAAGAGGAGAGUGGAAUUCCAUGUGUAGCGGUGAAAUGCGUAGAUAUAUGGAGGAACACCAGUGGCGAAGGCGGCUCUCUGGUCUGUAACUGACGCUGAGGCUCGAAAGCGUGGGGAGCAAACAGG
rnacentral:rRNA from 1 species